UGGAGGUUGGGCUGCAGUACACUGAGCCAUACUGUGAGUCCCUCUUCCCUUUCCUCCAAGGUGGAAACUGAAUAGGUCAAAGCUCUGAUGCCAAUGUGACAGUGUAGGGAGAUCUAAUCUCAAUAAGAGGCAGUUGUAGUCCAGGGGUGUCCAGUAUUAGAGCACUAGGUCUGGAGUCAGAAAGACCUGAGCCCAAAUCCAGCCUUAGAUAUUUCCUAACAACUGUGAGAUCCUGGGCAAAUUACUGAGGCUCUAGAGGCCUGAUAAAAGGAUCCACUGAAUCAAGUGGAAAAGAAAAAGACAAAUCUCUCCAGUAUCCUUCGUCAAAAAAAAAAAGAAAGAAAGAAAACCCCAUGGAUAGAUAUGGUCCAUGUGGUCAUGAAGAGAAAGAAGUGACUGAACUAGUCUAAAAAAAGAAAAAAAGGAAAAAAGGGGGGAGUGGGAGAUGUGCAAGACAUAAUCAGCAGGAAGUUCAGAGGACAACCUUGACAGGACUGUCUCAGAAGAAUGGAUCUUUGAAGUAACCACUAUGGAAAUAUGGUAGAAGAUCUAGGUGUGAAUACAAUUUUUGCCAUUUUCUGCAAGGAGGAUGGCCUUGAAGAGACAGACGAGGUUGAUGUAAGCGGCUAAUCAUAGGCUGCGGGGACACUCUACUGUAUUCCAUCCCCCGAGCAGGAGAUCGUGAACGAGGAGAAUUUCUAGGUGAUUGUUUGGGUGAAGGCCGUGGUGAGUUACGUGGUGAUGGAGAAAACCUGUUAACAGCAGGGUAUACCGCGUGAUGCAUGUUGUCAUCUUCAUCAUCUAAACUUUGAGCAUCAAGUUCCUGAUCACUAAAUGUACCCCGUCUUGUAGAAUUACAAGAUGAACCAGAACUGCGCCGAGAUGUAGUGGCUGCAUAUUCUUGCCGAAGACCUGGAAACAAUUAAAAUGUUAUUUUCUACUUAAUUUUAUAACAGAAUAAAAGCCCAACAUAACUAUCUGCUAGAAUAUAUGUCCAAAAUAAUUGCCUACAUUCAAGCUCUUUUUAAAAGUUAAUUUUAAGAUUCAUACUCUAUGAUGGGAUCAUAAACUCUUUAAUCCCAAAGGAUGGAAUGAUAGUACAUCAAAAGAAUUUUGAUAAAAAAAUUCCUCUGUUAUUAAAAGAAAAACUCAGUGAACACACAUUCUGCUUAGAUAGUUGAAUUUUGUUCCUAUCAGACACAUAAUAAAAUAUUUGCCAAGAGCUUUUCCUCACAUCUUAAAUAAGUGAAGGUAUAUUUAAAACACUGGCUAGGUACCCAAUGGAGGAAUUAUGGAAGACCAUGGAUAAGAAUCCUACCAAAAAAGAAGCCAAAAAUAGAUUACGAUAAGCAUUGAGACAGACAGUACCUACACCAAAUGCAGAGAAACAUGUUCAUUGACUUUAAAUAGUAAUUAAGUCUCUAUAUAAGUUAUCUCUCUUAA